CUCCUCCCCUCCCUGCAGGCAGCCUGUGCCUUUUCUCCAAACGGAGACAGCACUUUGAAAAUUCUUUCAAUGGAUUUUUUUCCUUGAAAGAUCGUACUGGGGGAAAAUGAUACUUCUAUUAGUUACAUAUUCUCCAAUCGCACACUCGCACCCCCCUCGUUUUGAGAUCGCUCCCCUAGGCAGGCUCAGGCGGGCGCGGAGCGGCGCGGAGUGACAAAGCCGCCACCGCCGCCGCCGGGGGUGGGAGCCACGCUCGCCCGCCCGCCCCUCGACUCGGGAGAGCGUAAAAGUUUGUCUCAGCUCCAGCAUCCCCAGCCUCAACAUGCCCUCAGGUAAAGGUGGGAGUAAAUGGCCACGCUGUAUUGACAGAGGUAGGGUUUGUUUUUUAAUACUACUCCUUCUCACUUUAAAUUUCACCAGGGAGGGGUUUGGGAAGCGCUGCGUGUUUGGGGUGCGUUUUGCGCUUCCCGGUCUCUCCAGCCUGCAAGUCGGGAGUCGGCGACCGCUUAGUGACGAGCGACGAUUUUAAAGAGAAUAAAGGCUUUUCCGUGCCUGCCCCACAGCCCCUCCAGCUCGAAUAAUGGAGAGGCAGUCAAUGCACUCUGCAAGCGGCGGCCCAUUGUACGCAGCUGAUGGAGAGGAAGCGACUGGGGCCGGCAGGGGCUCCUUGCUCUCACCCCUCUCCCCAAAUAAACGCGCUCACCUCUCCUGGUCAGUUAAAAGGUGAAACGAACAUGAUUAAAAGACCAAAAAAAAAAAAAAAAAAAAGGAAAAGAACAAGAACAAGCUUUCUAUAUACAAAUUCUAAAUUUUACUCCCAAUACGGUACGGAGGCAGGCAGUCGAGGGCAGAGGAAGCAGGCAGAGAGAGGGAGACAGGGAGAAGGAAAGAGAACGUGGAAAGAGACGGAGCGAGUGGAAGAGGAGGCGAGAGCGAGCGCCAGGGAACCGGAGGCCCGCUGGACGCCCGGUCCGCGGGCCCAGCCACCCUCGGACCCUGGACCGUGAGUCAUGGGCACCAGAAGCGAGAUUCGGCCGAGUCCUGCCCCACCAGGCAAGGAUUGAGGAACGGAAAUACCACCAUCCUCCAGCCAAACUUGUGAGGACUGAUUGCAAGGGAACUGGGGCUCCAGAUGUUGCACUAGAGGCGCUGCAAGUGUGAGCAGGUGGCAGUGGACCUACAUCACAGGUUGUAGCAAAUGUUCUCAACAUUUCUAUUGAAAUCUUUAUCUCUGCUUGCAAGAGGAGCCCCAGAGCCUCAUCCCUGUGGGAGUGACUGUCCUCUGAUAUAAGCGUUGUUCACCAGGGAGCUUUGGCAAGAGAACUGGCUAGAUCAGCAAGUCCAUCUCCACUGUGAAAAAGCAACUUGAAGCUCAUCUCUAUUGACGAAAAAUCUUACAAGGCAGGAAGUUAUUACUUUGAGGACGUGAGUUGGGAAUCCUCAUUCACACACAUCUAUUCAAGAAUCAUCAGUGGAGGCAGCCGUUCAUCAGGCCAUCCCACCUGGAAUAUGGUUUGAAGCAGUUCAGCAAUUCCUCAGGAAAGGACUUCAAAUGGCCAAUGUGUUCACAUAGCCUAUUUUUCUAGAGCUUUAUCAUCUUUAGAAGGUCAUUGGCCACCAUACCAUUGAUGUCAUCUGAUCGAGCGUGAAGCUGUAUUAAUUAGGUUGCUGGAGAGUCAAACAUACAAAGAACCAUUUCAAUAAAAGGUGGUAUCUUCUACAGAUGAGG
ensembl:lncRNA